GACGAACGCUGGCGGCGUGCUUAACACAUGCAAGUCGAACGGAAAGGCCCUGCUUUUGUGGGGUGCUCGAGUGGCGAACGGGUGAGUAACACGUGAGUAACCUGCCCUUGACUUUGGGAUAACUUCAGGAAACUGGGGCUAAUACCGGAUAGGAGCUCCUGCUGCAUGGUGGGGGUUGGAAAGUUUCGGCGGAUGGGGAUGGACUCGCGGCUUAUCAGCUUGUUGGUGGGGUAGUGGCUUACCAAGGCUUUGACGGGUAGCCGGCCCGAGAGGGUGACCGGCAACAUUGGGCCGGAGAUGAGGCCCAGACCACUAUGGUAGGCAGCACUGGGGAAGAGUGCACAAUGGGCGGAAGGCUGAUGCAGCAACGCCGCGUGGGGGAUGACGGCAUUCGGGUUGUAAACCGAUUUCGCCUGUGACGAAGCGUGAGUGACGGUAAUGGGUAAAGAAGCACCGGCUAACUACGUG
rnacentral:rRNA from 1 species